UACGGAGGGGGCUAGCGUUGUUCGGAAUUACUGGGCGUAAAGGGCGCGUAGGCGGCGAUUCAAGUCAGGCGUGAAAGGCCUGGGCUCAAUCCGGGAACUGCGUUUGAUACUGGAUUGCUGGAGUCCGGGAGAGGAUGGCGGAAUUCCCAGUGUAGAGGUGAAAUUCGUAGAUAUUGGGAAGAACACCGGUGGCGAAGGCGGCCAUCUGGACCGGAACUGACGCUGAGGCGCGAAAGCGUGGGGAGCAAACAGG
rnacentral:rRNA from 1 species